rnacentral:rRNA from 1 species
UUGAACGCUGGCGGAAUGCUUUACACAUGCAAGUCGGGCGGCAGCGCGGGGGCAACCCUGGCGGCGAGCGGCGAACGGGUGAGUAACAUAUCGGGACGUACCCAGACGUGGGGGACAACUAGUCGAAAGACUAGCUAAUACCGCAUACGUCCUGAGGGAGAAAGCGGGGGAUCGCAAGACCUCGCGCGUUUGGAGCGGCCGAUAUCUGAUUAGCUAGAUGGUGGGGUAAAGGCCCACCAUGGCGACGAUCAGUAGCUGGUCUGAGAGGAUGAUCAGCCACACUGGGACUGAGACACGGUCCAGACUCCUACGGGAGGCAGCAGUGGGGAAUUUUGGACAAUGGGGGAAACCCUGAUCCAGCCAUUCCGCGUGAGUGAAGAAGGCCUUCGGGUUGUAAAGCUCUUUCGGCAGGAACGAAACGGCGGAAUCUAAUACAUUCCACUAAUGACGGUACCUGAAGAAGAAGCACCGGCUAACUACGU